CCACUCGCGUCGUUUCACCGAUUACCAGUUUAAUAUUUUUAUAUUUAUAAAUAGUCUGUGAAUUUCUGUGUUAUUUGAGCGUUUAUUUACUUAAAGUUAACAUUCGUUAUUAUUCGUUAUUAUUAAUAGCGAUAAUGAAGCUUGUUGGUUGACUUGUAGACUACAUGCUUUAUAAAUACGAUAUUAUCUGUACACUGUAUUGAAAAAUAUAUAAUACUGUCGUGCGGUUUGAUAAAAAUACUGAUUAGUACGAGAUAAGAUUGAACCAAACGAAUAUUACGGUGAAGAAACAAAAAAUAUGUAACUUUCAUACUUAAUAAAACGAAAAAACACACUCGAGUCCUUCUGUAUUUUCAAUAAAUAGAUCUCGAGGACAUUUUAAAGAUCUAGUGACGCGGUGGCUUACAAAGGUCACUGUUUAAGGUCUAACACGAAGCGGCAAAGAGAUUUGAUACGACCAUCGAAAGAAGAAAAAAUUCACUAUAGAAAAAAGCUGUCAAAAAUGGCCGCCUGACAUUUCAUUUAUGUACAAACAUUAUAAGGUCUUGGUUGGUGUAAACUGUACAGCAAACAUACUUGUAAAAUGAAAAUUAAUCUUAUUAUGUUUUAUAUUUUUUCCCUAAUUCUAGCUUCUAUAGUAAAUAACGCAUAUAUAUAAUUAAAAUUGCAUUCAAAUUGCGAAUAAAAAUAUCUAAUUACAUAGUCUAAAAUCCUUCGCGAGCCGUAUGCACAUUCGGUCGGGCGUAGCAAGAAAUAGUAAUGUUAAUAAUAGCGAGGUAAAUUACUUUUACCUGAGACUUUCUCUGGAUUUUUUUUUUCAUUUAAAACCAAAGUUUACACGUUUCUUACGUAUACCUACCACAUGCGUUACAUUCAUUGUUAUUACCAAGUCCUACAUUAUGGAUUCAGUAUAAAAAUAUACUAUUAGGAAAUUGUUAUUGUUAAUAUAGAGAUUAAAAAUAAGCUGAAAGUGUAUGUAUAGUACAAAACUUAUCUAUCAUAGUUCUCGUAUUUGUCAUAGUUGACAAGUUGCGAUCGAUUCCUUAGUAGAGAAACCUUUGUGUCACGUCAGUACUGAGAAAUUACAAGAUAAUGUUUCCAUAGAAGCCGAUAGAUGGUGCUGGCAUAAUUUAUUUUAUAUUGUUACAUAAAUUAAAACCUAGUUGAAAUUAGAUUUAUAAUGAUUUUUUUCGUUAAAAAAAUCAAGAUGUUACCAUGUCUUGUUAUAAA